GGCUUCCUUGAACUCAGAGAUCUGAUCAUCGGUGAGUUGAUCUGCCAUUUCUAAGUCCUCUCACUUUGUUCUUCUGAAAUUUAAAGAACAAAAAAAAAUCCUCUAAUCAAGAUCGGAGAAGGAAAAAGGAGAGGACACUGGAAGAGAGAACAGAUGGCGUUUUAUAUGCCCACAGGGCAGCGUUCAAUAUGCCCACAGGGCAGCGUUCA
rnacentral:misc_RNA from 1 species